AAAAAAUGUGUACAAGUGCAUGUGACUAAAAAGUAUAUAUCUCAGUGAAGUGGUUGGCGAAGCCUGAUGCAGAUAUCUUACUUUGCACCUUUGCCGUCAACCCAACACAUGCAAUAGAUGGUUGUCCACUGCAGGAGUUUGUCCUCCCAUACCAAGUGCCGUUUUCCAGAUUAGGAUUCGGCACUUAGUCAUAUUUUAUAUAAAACCUGGUAUUAAACUGACUCUAAUGACCCAGUCAUAUUUUAUAUAAACCCAGCCAUAUUUUAUAUAAUAGCCCAGCGGUAGAAUUUUAAAUUAAUUUAAACUGCAACUUCAACAGACCCAACUGCUUGAUUAACGGCCAACCACCCAAAGCUCCACGUCGCAGCUGUGCUGGCCAGAUCAGCUGUCUGGACAACACAAACAGUUGAGCGGUUGUUAGCUUCAGACGCUCAUUGAGCAUCAGGAGAAUUGCAGGCUGUGAUUCUACUGCCGAAAGCACCUGCGUCUGCCAGCCGUGCGUUCUUCGUUUACUGGUUGUUCCGCACUUGUGGU